rnacentral:lncRNA from 1 species
CGAUCCCAAAAAAUCCAAUCCCAGCCCAAAAUUUCCCAUGGAAUUCCAGGGAUUGGGUCGGUGUUGACCAAUCCCAUCCCAGAUUUCCCCAUGGAAUUCCAGGGAUUUGGGUCCCUUGGCCAUGGAUCCAUCUAUCCCAAAAAUUCCCAAUCCCAUCCCAGAUUUCCCCACGGAAUUCCAUGGAUUGGGUCGGUGUUGACCUUGGCCAUGGAUCCAUCGAUCCCAAAAAUUCCCAAUCCCAUCCCAGAUUUUCUCCCAUGGAAUUCCAGGGAUUUGGGUUCCUUGGCCAUGGAUCCGUCGAUCCCAAAAAUUCCCAAUCCCAUCCCAAAAUUUCUCCAUGGAAUUCCGUGGAUUUGGGUUUACACUGACCUGGUUGACUCCCAAACCUCCUUCCCCACCCGAAAUCCCGGAAAAUUCCCCAAAAUCCCCACAAAAUCCUUCAAAAAAAAAAUUCCUGGAUGCCUCCACCGCCAUUUUUUUGGGGGAAUUUUUUUGGGAAAAACGCCAAAACUCAUCCCAGUCUUUGGCCAUUCCCAAAAUUCCCAAAAAACCCCACAAAAUCCUCCAAAAAAAUUCCUUUUGGUGCCUCUGAUGCCGUUUUUUGGGGAAUUUUUUGGGAAAAAUGCCAAAACUCAUUCCUGGUCUUCGGUUUUUCCAAAAAAACCCAAAAAAUCUCACAAAAUUCUCAAAAAAAAUCUACUAGAUGACUCCGAUGAUGUUUUUUUCGGGGGAAAAACGCCAAAACUCUCUUCAAUCUUUGGUUUUUCCCAAAAAUCCCAAAAAAAUCCUCCAAAAAAAUUUCCUGGAUGCCUCCACCGCCAUUUUUUGGGGGGGAAAAAAUGCCAAAACUCAUUCCUGGUCUUCGGUUUUUCCCAAAAAAUCCAAAAAAAUCUCACAAAAUUCUCAAAAAAAAUCUACUGGAUGCCUCCGAUGACGUUUUUUUGGGGGGGAGUUUUUUGGGAAAAACGCCAAAACUCACCUUGGCCUUUGGCCGUUCUCCUCCGGUUCCGGCGUUUUCCGGCCUGGCCUUGUUCCCGCACCAAUUCCCGGAGCAUUUUUUCCACCUGGCUCCUCCCGGCCGUUUGGAGGAUCAGCCCCAGCUGCCGGCGCAGAUCCGGCUCCGCCCCUCCCCCGCCGCCGGAACCCCCCGGGGGAGGGGGCGGCGCCGGGGGGGGCUCGGGGUGGUUCUGGUCCCCCUCGGCUUCCGUAGCUGGAAAAGGGGAGGGGGAAAAAUGGGGAUAAAACCCCCCAAAAAAAACCGGGAUUUGGGGGGGUUCCGGGAAAGAUUUGAAGGGUUCGGGGUGGAGUUGUUGAAAAUUCCCGGUGGUUUUGGUCAAAUUCAAAGGGAAUUCCUGAAAAUUCCAAAGGUUUUGGUUAAAUUUAAGGGGAAUUCCUGAAAAUUCCAAAGGUUUCGGUCAAAUUUUGUGGGAAUCGGUGAAAAUUCCAAAGGUUUUGGUUAAAUUUAAAGGGAAUUCCUGAAAAUUCCAAAGGUUUUGGUCAAAUUUAAGGGGAAUUCCUGAAAAUUCCAAAAGUUUUGGUCAAAUUUAAUUGGAAUUCCUGAAAAUUCCAAAGGUUUCAGUCAAAUUUAAG